AGAUUGAACGCUGGCGGCAGGCCUAACACAUGCAAGUCGAGCGGCAGCACGGGUACUUGUACCUGGUGGCGAGCGGCGGACGGGUGAGUAAUGCCUAGGAAUCUGCCUGAUAGUGGGGGAUAACGCUCGGAAACGGAUGCUAAUACCGCAUACGUCCUACGGGAGAAAGCAGGGGACCUUCGGGCCUUGCGCUAUCAGAUGAGCCUAGGUCGGAUUAGCUAGUUGGUGGGGUAAUGGCUCACCAAGGCGACGAUCCGUAACUGGUCUGAGAGGAUGAUCAGUCACACUGGAACUGAGACACGGUCCAGACUCCUACGGGAGCAGCAGUGGGGAAUAGUUGGACAAGUGGGACGAAAGCCUAGAUCCAAGCCCAAUCGCCGCGUGUGUGGAAGAAGGUCUUACGGAUUUAGGUAAAGCUAACGUUUUAAGGUUGGGAGGAAGGCUAAGUUACCUAAGUACGUAUCUUAGUUUUAGACGUUAACGACAGUAAUAAGCCGAACCGUCUAACUCUGU
rnacentral:rRNA from 1 species